rnacentral:rRNA from 1 species
AUUGAAAUGACUCUCGGCAAUGGAUAUCUCGGCUCUUGCAUCGAUGAAGAGCGCAGCGAAAUGCGAUACGUGGUGCGAAUUGCAGAAUCCCGCGAACCAUCGAGUCUUUGAACGCAAGUUGCGCCCGAGGCCAACCGGCCAAGGGCACGUCUGCUUGGGCGUC